AUUGCAGAAUCCCGUGAACCAUCGAGUUUUUGAACGCAAGUUGCGCCCGAAGCCAUUCGGCUGAGGGCACGUCUGCCUGGGCGUCACGC
rnacentral:rRNA from 1 species